UUCCCCUAGUAACUGCGAGUGAAGCGGGAAAAGCUCAAAUUUAAAAUCUGGUAGUCUUUGGCUGCCCGAGUUGUAAUCUAGAGAAGCAUUAUCCGCGCUGGACCGUGUAUAAGUCUCCUGGAAUGGAGCGUCAUAGAGGGUGAGAAUCCCGUCUUUGAUACGGACUACCAGGGCUUUGUGAUGUGCUCUCAAAGAGUCGAGUUGUUUGGGAAUGCAGCUCUAAAUGGGUGGUAAAUUCCAUCUAAAGCUAAAUAUUGGCGAGAGACCGAUAGCGAACAAGUACCGUGAGGGAAAGAUGAAAAGAACUUUGGAAAGAGAGUUAAACAGUACGUGAAAUUGUUGAAAGGGAAACGCUUGAAGUCAGUCGCGUUGUCCAGGGAUCAACCUUGCUUUUGCUUGGUGUAUUUCCUGGUUUUAACGGGUCAGCAUCAAUUUUGAUCAGUGGAAAAAGAUCAAAGGAAUGUGGCAUCUUCGGAUGUGUUAUAGCCUUUGGUUGUAUACAUUGGUUGGGAUUGAGGAACUCAGCACGCCGCAAGGCCGGGUUUUUAACCACGUUCGUGCUUAGGAUGCUGGCAUAAUGGCUUUAAUCGACCCGUCUUGAAACACGGACCAAGGAGUCUAACAUACCUGCGAGUGUUUGGGUGGAAAAUCCAAGCGCGUAAUGAAAGUGAAAGUUGGGAUCUCUGUCGUGGGGAGCACCGACGCCCGGACCAGACCUUCUGUGACGGAUCCGCGGUAGAG
rnacentral:rRNA from 2 species